CUCCUACGGGAGGCAGCAGCAGGGAAUAUUGCACAAUGGGCGCAAGCCUGAUGCAGCGACGCCGCGUGAGGGAUGAAGGCUUUCGGGUUGUAAACCUCUUUCAGUGGGGAAGAAGCGCAAGUGACGGUACCCACACAAGAAGGCCCGGCCAACUACGUGCCAGCAGCCGCGGUAAUACGUAGGGGCCAAGCGUUAUCCGGAUUUAUUGGGCGUAAAGAGCACGUAGGUGGCAUGGUAAGUCAAAGGUGAAAGCCCUCGGCUCAACCGAGGAAUUGCCUUUGAAACUGCUUUGCUUGAGUCCGGGAGGGGGGAGCGGAAUUCCCAGUGUAGCGGUGAAAUGCGUAGAUACUGGGAGGAACACCGGUGGCGAAGGCGGCUCCCUGGACCGGUACUGACACUGAGGUGCGAAAGCGUGGGUAGCAAACAGGAUUAGAUACCCUGGUAGUCCACGCCGUAAACGAUGGGCACUAGGUGCAGCGGGUGUCGACCCCUGCUGUGCCGUAGUUAACGCAUUAAGUGCUCCGCCUGGGGAGUACGGUCGCAAGGUUGAAACUCAAAGGAAUUGACGG
rnacentral:rRNA from 1 species